UGUGGGAGCGGGCUUGCUCGCGAUGGUAUCACUGCGGCUUAUCUGUAAGACCGCAUCGUCUGCAUCGCGAGCAAUCCCGCUCCCACA
rnacentral:misc_RNA from 1 species